rnacentral:rRNA from 1 species
GACGAACGCUGGCGGCGUGCCUAAUACAUGCAAGUUGAGCGCUGAAGGUUGGUACUUGUACCAACUGGAUGAGCAGCGAACGGGUGAGUAACGCGUGGGGAAUCUGCCUUUGAGCGGGGGACAACAUUUGGAAACGAAUGCUAAUACCGCAUAAAAACUUUAAACACAAGUUUUAAGUUUGAAAGAUGCAAUUGCCUCACUCAAAGAUGAUCCCGCGUUGUAUUAGCUAGUUGGUGAGGUAAAGGCUCACCAAGGCGAUGAUACAUAGCCGACCUGAGAGGGUGAGCGGCCACAUUGGGACUGAGACACGGCCCAAACUCCUACGGGAGGCAGCAGUAGGGAAUCUUCGGCAAUGGACGAAAGUCUGACCGAGCAACGCCGCGUGAGUGAAGAAGGUUUUCGGAUCGUAAAACUCUGUUGGUAGAGAAGAACGUUGGUGAGAGUGGAAAGCUCAUCAAGUGACGGUAACUACCCAGAAAGGGACGGCUAACUACGUG